AAGUCGUAACAAGGUUUCCGUAGGUGAACCUGCGGAAGGAUCAUUAAUUAUAUGUAAUUAUUAUGAUUAUAUUUAAUUAGCCACAUAAUUUGAUGUAUUAGAUUAAGCUUCGGCUUAUGAUAAUUCUGAAGAUUUAAUGGCAUUCUUCUCUUUAGUUUUAAUCUUUUGAUUGAAACGUUAAUUCAGGCCUAAAAACCUGAAUCUAUAUCAAUGUUAAAUUUUAAUUUAUCAAAACUAUAUUCUAAUUAUUAAUUAAUUUUAAUUUUUAAUAACUAAUAACAAUGGAUCUCUUGGCACUG
rnacentral:misc_RNA from 1 species